rnacentral:rRNA from 1 species
UACAGAGGGUGCAAGCGUUAAUCGGAAUUACUGGGCGUAAAGGGUGCGUAGGUGGUUUGAUAAGUUAGGUGUGAAAGUCCUGGGCUUAACCUGGGGACUGCGCCUAAUACUGUUGAACUAGAGUACUGUAGAGGAAGGUGGAAUUUCCGGUGUAGCAGUGAAAUGCGUAGAUAUCGGAAGGAACAUCGGUGGCGAGGGCGACUUCCUGACAGAUACUGACACUGAGGCACGAAAGCGUGGGGAGCAAACAGG